ensembl:misc_RNA Metazoa_SRP Metazoan signal recognition particle RNA
GCUGGGUGUGGUGGUGUGCGCCUGUAAUCCCAGCUACUCAGGAGGCUGAGGUGGGAGAAUCACUUGGAGCCCAGGAGUUCCAGGCUGCAGUGAGCCAUGAUCAUACCAUUGCCCUCCAGCCUGGGCAACAGGGCGAGACCCUGUCUCUU